rnacentral:lncRNA from 10 species
UAUGUUGCCCAGGCUCAUCUAGAACUCAAGUGGUUCUCCCUACUCGGCCUUCCAAAAUGCUGGGAUUACAGGUGUGAGGCACCACACACGGCCAAGUCUUCGCUAUUGUCUUAACCAGUUUAAAGAGAUGAAAUAGAUCAACUGAAAAGUAAUAAUCCUGCCUUUUCUGGGGGGCAGGGGGGAAGACAGCGGGCAUCUUCCAAGACCAGAAAUGUUCAGAAUUUUGUUGUUUCUAUUACUGUACAAAUGAGAAAACUGAGGCACACAGGCCAGGUGCAGUGGCUCAUGCCUGUAAUGCAAGCACUUUGGGAAGAUGGGGCAGGUGGAUCACUUGAGCCUGGCCACUCUCCACAUCUUUCUAGCAGUUAUGAGGUG